CAGGCACGUUAUUUAAUCUCUCUGUUCCUCAAUUUCCUCCUCUGCAAUCUGGGGGGGAAUAAUAUUCUUACCUUCACUGGCUGGUCUAUGAACUCACAAGUGUAGAUAGUGUGCUGCAUGAGGGGCAGGUUUUUUACUAACACCACAAAGGUCUCUCGCCCAGUGAGUGGCAUUUGAUAGUAAUUCUUGCUGCAAGU
ensembl:snoRNA SNORA62 Small nucleolar RNA SNORA62/SNORA6 family